ACUGAAAUCAAUACGCAGUCCCCUCCUCCUCUUCCUAUUUCUCCUCCACAACAUUGCCGCUGGUGCCCCCGCCCGCCGGCGCCGACGGGGCGGACCCCUGCGCGGGCCGCCGGAUCCACAUCCCGCACCUGCUUCCUCGCUUCAACACCGAUUCCUCCGCCACUGCGGGUUCGACUUCUUGUUCCUGACGGGGAAGCCUCGGGGAAAUCUAUGCCAGAAGAGAAUCGGAAGAGAUUUCCCGCCUGCCCACUCCGGCGGCCGCCUGCGCCGGGAUUUGUCCGGCCGUGCGCAUUCCUGGCCCGCAACGAGCAGCUCCGGCAGAAGCAAGGGGUGUGGGCGAGCUCCUCCGGCCGACGGCGCUGCGCCCCUCCGCCUGGCCGCGCCCUCCGCCUCACCGUUUUCGGCGUCCGCCUGCGCCGCACGGCUCCGUACGGCCGCCCGCAUGCCAGACCUGCAAAGAGCAGAUCCAACAGGCGCAGGGUGUGGGCUGGCUCCGCCGGCCGACUGCGCCGAUCCCCUCCGUCUGCUGACUGACUGCAGAUGCUUGCGUAUUUCAUUCAGGUAUCUCUUUGAACCUAUGCUUGCGUACUGUAGUCAUGAGCUUAUCCAGACACUAUUUUAGCAUCAGUUGUCAGCUUCCUCCUCACUGCAAAACCAUAAAAUUUUCCAUUGAUGUUAAUCGGUGAGAAACUAUCUUGGAAUUUGAUUUGCGUUGGUCAAGAUAUCGGGGAAUGGUGCUUGACCACACGCUGGUCCAACUGGCUCAGUUAUGUCUGUGUUCUUUAUCUUGCUUAUGACUAAGAAGGGAAAUGCUCAUUGCGUUACCACAAGUGUAUUCAUGCUCAAGAUAUCAGACAUGGCAGUCUCUAAAUGCUUGGCAGUAUGAACAGACACAGUUUUUUUAUGGUUGGCGACUGAUGUAACAUCACGAAUGCUCUCUGUAUGGUACCGGGUUUUCAAACUUGUGAUGAGGAUCACCUUAGUAGCUUAACUUUUCCUUUUCUCAUUAUAUUUUGACACAGUCAUUCCUCAGUCGGAAGCUCUGAAUCUACUUAUCAUUUCAGAAACUAGAAUUGAAAUAAAGAAUUAGCAAUGGCUGUGGAUUGAAAAAAAUGAAUUGUCAUUAACAUUCUGUACCAGCAAAAAAGAACCAGUUUACCAGUUUGUGCAUAAACAUGAAACAUCACGUAUAAAUUAGGAGAUUGUGCAACAUCAUAUGAGCCUGCUAAUAUUUUGAAUUUAGAACUAAAUUUAAGCUACGAAUCUAUUUGACUUCUGCCAUUCAGUGUAUUCAUAGCAUGGCUAAAAAAACAUGCACUAGCUUCAUAAGUUUUGCUGGUAAAAUUAGCUCUCUUUGCUGGAAGUGUGCCGUGGAUAUGUUGAACUAAUCUUCAGUCAAGGUUUGUAACAUUUUCUUGAUUUUUCAUAAAAAGUUCAACUGCAUCUGAAACAUCAAUGACUGACUGCCGUCUCAAUUUUUGACACUUCCAGAGUACUUGGCUAAUGCAACAAUGUAAUAAUUCAUGUGUUCUUUUUCCCCAUAUUUGGUACAGCCAGGCUGUAUUAUCCUUAUGACUUGACUUUACCUCUAUUAAUCAUAUUGAAAGACCAAACAAUAUACCUUAUCAUCAAUGCAUUUAGUUACAUUCUCAUUUCACUUUCACGUUACUUACAUAUAAACCUGAAGUACUUAGAUAUGGAGUUUUGCUCGGUAUUCUGAUAGGUUGAUCAGCAAAAUAUUUGAGAGCAAUCAAAUUACUAACUUAUCCCUUUCUAUACAUUGAAAGGAUGCCAGUGCAGAUAACUUAUCCACCUACAUUGUUGUUUAUACUACUGUCUGAAUUCAACAGAUAAUAACAAUCUGCAGUAACCAAAUUACAAACACCAAGCCACGCUUAGGGAUAUGCAGAUUGAACUGAUGGUACCCUUGAGGAAGAGUGCGUUGAUUUGGCCAGCGCCUCAAACAGAUGGUGAUGGCCGAGACCAGCGAGGCUGCUGCAACGGUGGUUUUGGGCAGGCACCAUUGCCUCCAGGAUGAGAUGGUUGGUGGCAAAGAGGAGAAUCCACGGCCAGGCUACAAUACAGUCAGUAGUUCCACCAAGGUGGCCACCAUAAGCAGGAGAUAUUAGUGGACUUGACCACAGUGAUACUAAGAUCAUUCAAUAUUCUUUGAAUUAUUAGUUGUUCCGAAAUGAAAUGUUCGCUCAAUCUGGACUAAUUUGUUUAAGUUCGGUAUGGUGAGAUUCCAAAAGCUAUUUUUAGAUGUACUCCAGGUAUGAUACAUCUACAUUUUUCUAUUAGAUAAAAAUAAAUAUACAUUGAAUGAUGUUCAAUUAUACAAAAGAUAACAUCAACCUUCUCAGCAGUAUAUGUGUAUGUUGUUAUCACUUCAAGGCUAAUUUUGCAUACCUCAUAAUCUAAUCCUUUCAAUGAAGGGAUCAUCCUGCUGAAUAAAGCCAAGUGGUACAACCCUUAUUUUCUAGGCCCAAAAUAUACGAUAAUUAUUAUAUGCAUGAACUAAAGUCUGCAUGAACUACAAAUCUGCGAUGCGAAGCUGCUCGCAUUUGAGGUCUCUAGCAGACCGACUACACCUCUACAGAGCUUCAUGCAAUCAUGCUGGACGACGCUUACAACAACAAAGGGGUUGGGUAAUUCCAAAGGAUAGAGUUUCUUAGUAUCUUCAGAGAAGCAAGCUCUUUGGAUUAAGUUCCUCAGGAAGAAGGAUGUACCUGAUUACCUUUGUAUAUGCAGUUUAUGAGACACGAAUAAUGUUGUUACAUUCAUACAGAAAUGCCAUGCAACUUUUAUUCAAUUAUUCGAGAAAGAUUUAUGCGUAUCAUCUUUUGUUUGCAUGGCAUAUCAUAGAGGAAUAUAUAAAGGAAACCAAGUAAGAAAAUGUGAAAUUUCUCUGCUGACAAAGUGCCCCCAUAUUAGCAUCUAAUUCUCUCAUUCUACAAGAAAUUACUGCCUGCAAAGCCAGCUUAAGAGAUACAGCAUAAGCUUAAGGGGCGGCUAGGUAGCUGCUGCUCUGCCUCGGCUCCCUAGACCGGGAUUUUGAGAUCACAGCUGCCAACUUAGCAAUGCUUCUACUCUUACUGUCCUACCUCAUUUUAUUUUAAAUGUAAAAAUUAUUUCUUCCCUAUCAUUGUUGCUCUUUUCAUCAUUAUUCUGAAUUGCUAUUUUUAUUGGCAUCUUCUAUCUACUAUUACUCUUUUCAUUAAUUCAGACAGUGACAUCAAUAUUCAAUAGGCUGGCCCACUCCAAGGAGGACGCGGCAAGGCCGCGUCAGUGUUUCUAGUAAUCAAUGGAAUAUGAAUGCACCUUGACCCGCUACUGCUAGUUACCUCUUUCUACUGGGAAAGAGUUACAAUAAUGCGAACUCUUUACCAAAAGUGCAAACAAGUCCAUGCCGAUUUGAGUGAGUACAACAUUCUUUAUUUCGAGAGCCACUAGUAUAUUAUUGAUGUUUCACAAUCUGUUGAUCUUGAUCAUCCUUCAGCAUUGGACUUUUUGAAGAAAGAUUGCCGGCACAUUUGUGAUUUCUUUAAAACAUGAGGUGUUGCGGUCAUGCCAGUAAUGGAUUUAUUUAAUUUUGUUGUUAACCAAAAUAUUUCUGAUGAAGAUGUUGAUGCUUACCUCGAAAAGAUUCAUCAAAAGAUUUUGGAGAAUGGAGGUAUAGUUCCAAACGAUUAUGAAAUCACUCCCACAGUCAUGGUGCAGACGUUGGAUUACGUGAAGCAAUGUGAGGCAGAUAUUGUCAACAUGUCAAUGAUGCAGCGUUCAUCCUCUGGUUACGAGCCACCAGCAUAUAAGUUUUAUGGUCAGCCACUAUUAGGAUUUGUGCGGACUAAAAACAUGGACAAUGAAAAGCAUCAAGAUCAAUUACCACAAAAUACAACGGAAGCAACCUUGGAUCUGCAAAACUACUGCUCAUUGGAGGGCAACACGGAAGUGGGAGAAGAUGAUAGUGAAUUCGUCUCCACUUAUGAUGAAGAUGGUUCAUGGCAUGAGGCUGAUCCCAAACUGGGACCUGAUGAAAGAGAUGGUUCAUGGCAUCAGACUCAUCUCAAGCUAGGACCUGAGGAAAGAAAAGCUGCUAGGAAGGAACACAAAAAGAAAGUGAAGGAAGAGAAGAGGGAAGCUCGCAAGACCAAGAAAUCGCAGGCUAAGAAAAAGAGGAGGAAGAAAAUGGCGAAAGCAUAGUGCAAGCGGUCGCGAAUCUUUGGGUAGUCAGUAUUAGUUCACGUUGAAUCUAAUUGACAGAUAGCCAGAGGGAGUGAUGUCACAAGUUUUCACAUUGUUGCAAAUUUUUCUCGAUCGUUUCUAAUGCAUUAGUCGGAAACCUACCAAUGUGUAGGAGUAAUAUCCUCGAUUUGAAGCUCUAUCUAUAUCACGAAUGAAACUGCUAGUCAUCCAA